rnacentral:rRNA from 1 species
UACGAAGGGUGCAAACGUUGCUCGGAAUUAUUGGGCGUAAAGAGCGUGUAGGCGGCCUGACAGGUCUGCUGUGAAAACUCGAGGCUCAACCUCGAGAUGUCGGCGGAAACCGUCUGGCUAGAGUCCGGAAGAGGAGAGUGGAAUUCCUGGUGUAGCGGUGAAAUGCGCAGAUAUCAGGAAGAACACCUAUGGCGAAGGCAGCUCUCUGGGACGGUACUGACGCUGAGACGCGAAAGCGUGGGGAGCGAACAGG